AUGACAAGCACUUUGAAAAGAGGGUGAAAAGAGCCUGAAACCGUUAUGGGGGAAGCGGAUUGCGUUGGAUUGAUGGGUUGCUGCGUGUUCAGCCGAAAGGUGCAUUGGCGCAGUAGCUUACCCGCCAUGGGUUCCGAGUGGUUGAUGUUGAACCAUUUGGGGCUGAGGGAUCCCUUUUAUAGGUGAGGAUGGCUGGGUGACGACGCGAUACGACCCGUCUUGAAACACGGACCAAGGAGUCUAGCGCGAUUGCGAGUCAGAGGGUGCAAGCCUGAGGGCGUAGUGAAAGCGAGUGUGAAAACGAGCAGUUUGGGGCGGCAUKAGAUCGUUGAUCUCAAGUCCGACCUUGAGCAAUUGCGCUGGGACCCGAAAGAUGGUGAACUAUGCCGGAGUAGGGCAAAGCCAGAGGAAACUCUGGUGGAGGCUCGUAGCGGUGCUGACGUGCAAAUCGCUCGUCUAACUUUGGUAUAGGGGCGAAAGACUAAUCGAAUCAUCUAGUAGCUGGUUCCCUCCGAAGUUUCUCUCAGGAUAGCGGGCCGACUUUUGUUGUUUUGUGC
rnacentral:rRNA from 1 species